rnacentral:rRNA from 1 species
UACGGAGGGUGCGAGCGUUGUCCGGAAUCACUGGGUUUAAAGGGUGCGUAGGUGGGUCUGUAAGUCAGUGGUGAAAUCUCCGUGCUUAACAUGGAAACUGCCAUUGAUACUAUAGGUCUUGAAUUUUCUGGAGGUAAGCGGAAUAUGUCAUGUAGCGGUGAAAUGCUUAGAUAUGACAUAGAACACCAAUUGCGAAGGCAGCUUACUACGGGAACAUUGACACUGAGGCACGAAAGCGUGGGGAUCAAACAGG